GUGUCAGCAGCCGCGGUAAUACAGAGGGUGCGAGCGUUGUUCGGAAUUACUGGGCGUAAAGCGCGCGUAGGCGGUUGUUUAAGUCUUACCGUGAAAUGCCGGGGCUCAACCCCGCGCACGUCGGGGGAUACUGGACGACUGGAGACAAGUAGAGGCGAGCGGAAUUCCGGGUGUAGCGGUGGAAUGCGUAGAGAUCCGGAAGAACACCAGAGGCGAAGGCGGCUCGCUGGGCUUGGUCUGACGCUGAGGCGCGAAAGCGUGGGGAGCGAACAGGAUUAGAAACCCCUGUAGUCC
rnacentral:rRNA from 1 species